rnacentral:rRNA from 2 species
AAGGCUAAAUACUCCUGACUGACCGAUAGUGAACCAGUACCGUGAGGGAAAGGCGAAAAGAACCCCGGCGAGGGGAGUGAAAAAGAACCUGAAACCGUGUACGUACAAGCAGUGGGAGCCCCACCACUAAGCCAGUGGUGAACUCCACAUACGCAUCCUUUGCUGAGGAUACGGUUAACGGAGCGAAAGCGACGUUCAACCGCAAAAGAAGCAGAGGGGGCUUAGUGGUGGGGUGACUGCGUACCUUUUGUAUAAUGGGUCAGCGACUUAUAUUCUGUAGCAAGGUUAACCGAAUAGGGGAGCCGGAGGGAAACCGAGUCUUAAUUGGGCGUUAAGUUGCAGGGUAUAGACCC